UUUUUUUUUUUUUUGGGUUUCAGAUUAAUAGAAAUUCCAAAACUUACAAGGGAGAAAGACAGAGAUUGAAGACUUUGAGUCUCCAAAACUAAUGUCCUACCGGUUAAAUUGAGUCUUAAAAAUGUGCAAUUCUUACCUAAAGCUUGCUAUACACAAUACAAAGUUAAUAACAAAGGUUAUGUACACAUAAUCUAUAAUCUCCAAGUAAUUUGAAGACUCAAAUUUAGUCUAGAUGAUAAGAUUUAGCUGCCCCUAUCAGCCCUUAUCUUCCUAGUGACACUAUGGACCGUUUAGAGCUAUCCUAUUUUUGUUAAAAAAAAAAAAAAAAGUGUUUUUGGAAGACAAAAACACUUUUAACAUAUUUGAUUAGUAUCGUUCUUUGAAUUUAGCAGUCGAAAUUUUGGUCAUAGAGCACUUUUUGAAUAAAUUCAAAAUUGGCGCUUUUAGAAUAAUUUUUUGUAUCUUAAAAAUUAAAAAAUUAAUUUUAACCAUUUUAUUAUAAAGUUUGAAUUAAAUGAAGAGAUAAUAUGUUUUAAAAAUUCAAACUUACACAUUAUAAAACAAAAAAGUUCGUACGCAAGUAUGACUAAGCAUUUAAUAACUAUUAUAGCCAAAACCCCUUAUCACCUAUGGGGCAUAAUUUUGGUUCCGUUGCGGGCCAAGAAAUAGAUUGAGGUUUCAAUGCCAAACACGUGACAAUUGAUCAAGCUAAAACAAUUGAUGAUUUGACAAACCCCGCGAGGCCGGAUUGUACUGCACCGUCGGAUUCUACAUCCUGAUCUUAUCGAAAUGUUGAGGCCGCAUUUUAGAAUAAAGCAUAAAAUUCUCGAUAUACUGAUGCCAAAAACAAGAUUCGGAAAUAUGUCAAUCAUAGAUGAAAUAAGAAAAUUUACGUUGAUUGAGCAAAUUUUAAGAUGUCUAAAUAUAAGUAUAUUGCAUGAACUAAUUUCUUAUAUUCGCAAUAGUAAAGGUUUGAAUGAGAGGAUGGAUUGGACGAUUCGAGGGGAAAGAGUGCAAGGGUGCGUUUGAUAAAAUUAAAUUUUGAAAAUUAGCGAAUUAUUAAGUACUAAUUUUAAUACAUUUGAGCGUAUACAUUACAGUAAGUGAUAAGUGCAUAAUUCAUCACUUAUUUUUUGAAGCAAAUUUUGUCUAGAAAAUUCAAUACCACUUUAAUGAAUUUAGAUGUUUUAAUUUUGAUUAUCAAAAGCUUCUGAAUAUAUUAAGAUCUGAAUCCAUUAAUUCCAAGUGUUGAAUUGGAUUAGGAUCUAAAUGAAAGAUUUCAAAUUUGACCCCUACAUAUACAUUUUCACCGCUAUACUAUUAGAUGCAUGACACAUAAACACAUAAUUUGAACUUGAAUUUGAAAUUUAGAUGCAUCUUGACACCAUCCAAUUCCAACCGUUCAUAUACCGUCGCUGUCAAUAUAUAUAAAAUUAACUAAAAAAAAAAAUCAAAUUUUCUAAACUUGGGUGCGGUCCUCGAUCUGACCAUCCCUAACUCCGCCAUCAAUGUCAACGAGCCUACAUUUCAACGGCCGUACUUAAGGUACGUUUGGUCUCUCCGAUCAACGUGCUCUAAAUCUCUACACCUUUUUCAUGCUUUAAAGAAAAAUCUUUCUUUAAAUGGGAAACUUCCACAAAGCGACUAGAGUCGAAAUUUCUCAAGUACUCAUUACCUAAUCCAUUCCUGUUAGCAAAGAACCGUCUGAAAAUGAUAGCAAAGCAAAAAAAAAAAAAAAAAAAUUAAUGGUGGUUACUUUACUACCUUCGACCGCAGACGCCCUUCCAUCCUUGAAAUUUCCUAAAGUUCAUUUGAUUACAAACUUACGUGUCUCGGUGUACAAUUGACUCUGCAUAUUUUAGAUUUGUCAACAAGUGUAAAAAAUUUGUCUAAUGUCAAUUGUGACUAAAUCAUCAGCCAAUAUAGCCAACACUUACCGGAUAAGGAUCUGAGUACAAUUGUGCUUCGUGCGACUCCAUUCGAUCGUUGUACAUGUUUAAAAUUUUAGUGUACAAUUAUAUCGUAAUAUUGUAUUGAAUAUAUAUCAAAUAUUUUAUUUAUCUAUGUACAUCAAUUUUACCUCGAACGUAAGAAUGUAACAUAAUUAUAAUUAUACACCGCCAAUUAACGUAAAAUGUAUAAUAAUCAGAUUGAUCCUACCAGAUCCCAACAGCUAUAGCCCCCCUCUCCCAACACGUACUACUAUUAUAAAUCUUCAUGCAUUGAAUAAGAUUUCUGAUGUGAUGGUAUUAGGUAAGCAAGUUGCUAUGCUAGGUACCCAUGAUUGAUUUUUGGCGAUUGACUGUCUUGGCAAGCCCCAAAAGACAAGGUCCAAGAAAAUUAGCUAUAUCUUUUUUAGAAGUUUUGUAUAGCUGUCCUGCUCACCUCAUGUAUGGACUAACAGUAGUAGUAUUGGAAGAGAGGUGAAUUUGGUGUUCGGUGGACUUGGAAACAAUCAAUUCAUAGGCUUUCUGAAAUCAACCACUGAUAAUACUGCCUAACAAUUUCAUUGACUUCAUUUCUUCAUUCGCUUUUGAAACAAGACCACCAUUAAUAAUUUUGCCCUGGAUUAAAUCCAAAGUGGAGUUCAUUAUUGUAAUUAGAUCUGAAAACGAUUGGUAUCAGUUUAUUUCCUGAUUUUUGUUUAGGCUAAAAACCAAAUCGCUCCAUUCAAAGAUAGGAUUGUAGUAAUUUGUUUAACCAUUAGCUAUUCCAACAAUUCACGUACCAUCUGUAAGAUUAAAUCUACAUCAAUUGAACCCCCCAAAAAAAAUAAAAAAGAAAGUUAUUUCAAUUAAACUCAUACAAUAGAAACGAAGAAAAGGUUAAAAAGAAAGAAUGUAUCACAAUGAAGAUGGGAAAUUUUGGUAUAGGGUUAGGGGUGUUUACGACCAUCGAUUAUAGUCACACCGUAUGUUUAUGACAAAAUAACCAUUCACUCUAACUCUAAUACUCAAAUUUUAAAUAAUUAGUAGGUGGGUUGAAUUAAGUGAUACGAUGAGACGACUGGUAAAUAGAAUGUUCUAAAUUUAAAAUCUCACACUUACAAAAAAAAAAAUUUUAAUUAGACACAUUCUAUAUAAUUAAUCUGAGCUAUUAGUCUCAUAUGGAAUCAGUAAUCAUUUUUACUUGCACCUACAAUAUUCAAGACUCGACGGUCUCGGUUCUUGCUUUAUUAAAAAAAAAUGAAAGGAAGGUUUUAUCCUCUCUUUUUUUUUCGAGUAAUAAAGAAGAAUAAAGGAUUGAAAAAAAAGGGAAAGCAUCUCAACGAAAUGAACUGUGAGAUCCAGAAAUGGGACCAACCAAGAUCAACAUCGUAAACAUUCCCACAAAGAAACCGAGAUUUGCGUUCCAAAAAUUAAUUGUGAGAUUACUACCCUUCAGGUAAGGAGCCGCCGCCGAAUAUUCCUCCUGCUAUAUUUUAACACAACGAUUUGCCACCUGGUACUAUUUCUGGCCCCAAAAGCCCUAAUCUCUCUCUUUCAUCCUCUGCUUUUGCGCCGCUAUCACGGCCCCAUGCCAAUCCCUGUCGCCUCACGCCCUAACCGGCCCACUGACAACGUUCUUUUCUUGUUCCCACUUCCCAUUUUCAUCCCUACGCGUCACACCAUCCAACGCUAUGGUCUCGUAUGUGGUACAGCAUAGUAUCGAUGAACAGUUUCUACUUCGGCUAGGGUUGGUUUCUACUUCGUAGUUCGUACCAAAUUAAUUUCAAAUUUCUAUUUCUGAAUUUUAGAAAAUUGUGUAUGAAGAAUUGGUUUCUACUACUAUAACAAAUAAAAAACUCUCAUUUUUUCUACUUUUUUUUCAUAAUUUUUGGCACUUGAUCACCUUUUGGAUCAAAUUUUGAUCGGAGUAAGUCACAUACACAUCACUUGAUCAGAUUUAAAAAACAGUUCUUGCAACUUACUUCGUUUGUUAACUCAAUUCCAUAUUUAAUUCAUUUGUUAAUCAAUUACCUCUAGAAUAGUGUUGGCACUAGGGGUGGGCAAAAAAACCCGCCGAUCCGAAAACCCGAUGAACCCGAUCCGAUCCGAUCCGAAAAAUAGGAUAUCCGAUCCGAUUUUUCUUAGCGGGGCAGAUGAGGGUCGGGUACCCGAAAAAUCGGGUACGGAUACGGAUCAGAAAAAUAAAAACCCGCGGGUACCCGACCCGCAGGGUAUAUUUUAUAAAUAUUUAAAAAGUAGGGAUCAUUUUAUAAUUUUGUAAUUUUUAAUCCUAAGUGCAAGUGAAGUGGCUCGCAGCCUCAUAUUCUAAUCCUAUAUGAUCUACUCUUCUCAUUUUUUUUGAAGAAAGUGAAUAUUCUCGGUGAAACAUGAACAAAAUGAAAAAAAAAAUUUGUGAAACUCUGUUAUAAAAAUUGUUCAUCCCUUUCAUCUUUUUUAUUUUUAUUCUAUCUCCAUCGAUCUUUCCUGCAAAUCUUGCAUCAAUUCAAUCAAAGAUUUUUGUUUGGAGUCUCAAUUUUCUGUUAGCUAGAUAAUUAAAAUAUUUGUGUCAUUCAUUUGCAAUUAUAUCUCUUAAAUUUGUCUCUUUUAUUUAGUGUAAGAAAUUUAUUUUUCUUUUUCAUCACCUUAAUACCAUAAGGUCUAUUCCAAAGAUGUAAAAAAGUUGGGGAAGAUUUUUAACAUUAUUUUGGUUAUAUUUUUUUCAAAAAUAAUUAGUUCUAUUCAAUUCUUUUCCGAACUUGAUUUCACAAUUGACUUAUUUGAGAUGCGGUCUUGUACCAUAAUAUCCUUGGGGAAGUUACCAAAUACUUAUUAUCCUUGUGUUUGUUGUGUUGUAGAGGUAUGAAAUGUGUGAAAAUGGUGAUGUACUCAAAAUUAUUAUGAAACUUCGUUUUGUCCAUUAGAUAUUCUAAUAUGUACUAAAUUUAUGAGAUCGAUUUGAUUAUUGGAUGAAAUGUGUGAAAAUGGUGAUGUAUGGACUUUAAUUACAAUAUCUCUACCAAUAUUAAUUGGAAAAGCAUGUUUUUUUUAUUGAAAAACAUGUUGAUAUUAAGUAGAAAAUAAAUUUUUUUUAUUGAAAAAUAGUUUUUUUUAGGGGCGGGUACCCUAUGACCCGCCCCUUUUUUUCGGGUACCCGCUAUUCGGGUACCCGAAAAUAUUAGGAGCGAGUUAGGGUCGCAAAAUGGCUGAUCCGAUAUAUUAGGGUCGGGUCAGCCAAAUCAUGUUAGGGGCGGGUACCCGACCCGUGCCCACCCCUAGUUGGCACCACAUGUUCUAUACGGUAGGAGAUGAAGGGUUCAAACCACGUAAUGCACUCAUAUGAUUCGAUAGUGUUUCAAUCUCCGUUGGUUCCGUGAUUCUGUUAGAUCACCUCCCUUACAAUUGACAAAAAAAAAAAAAAAAAUUUCACCAUUCACCAUUUCACUUGAUUCUUCUUUUUUCUAAAAUCCAAAAACAUAUGUUUUUCUCUCUUCUAUUGUCACUCUAUUCCACUAUUCUGAUUUCCAUUAUCAUUCUUGACUCUUAUGUUAUCACUCUAUUCCACCAUUUUGACUUCCAUUAUCACUUCCACGACCUCUUUUCUUUCUCCCUCCCUCUCCCAACGCUUUCUCCUCCUCCUUCUUCCUUCUCUUUCUCCUAUCAUUGCUCAUUUGAUCACCCUCUUUUCCUCUUUCCCUUCCCUAUGUCUUCACCUUCACCAUUUCUCCCAACUUUUCUCCCUACAUUUUCUCUUCUUCCCUACCCCGGUCUCCUCUCACCUAUUGAUCUAGUCAUAAAACUAGAUUAGAUCUGGUCUCAUGACCAAAUUGAUGAGUGAAAGGAACAGAGAGGAUAAAAAACUUGGGUGAUAAAGAAAGGGAUGGAGAAAAGUUGAGGAAAUGGAAAACAAGAAAGAAGAAGGGAACAAGUGGUGGGUGGGUAAAUGAGAAAGAAUGAGAGGGAAGGAAAAGAGUGGUGGCGAGCAAAAAAAUGGGAAGGAGAAAAAGAAUGUAGGGAAAGAAGUAGAGGAGAAAGUACAAAGGAGAAAAGGUGACAGCGGAGAAGUAAAAAAAAGGUCGAGGAUGGUGGUGACGUGGGAAUGGUAGAGCAAUAUGGCAGUAGUGGAAGAGCAAAAUGGGUGUAUGUCUUUUUGGAUUUAGGAAAUUAGGGUUUAAAUGGAAAGAAUUAGAAAUAUUGGUAGAUUAAGUGAAAAAUUGGGUCAAUAUUAAGGAAAUUGUCAUAUUUGCCAUUAAAAUUUUGACCAUGUGAUGUGUUCGUAAUAUAUUCCAACCAAAAUUCAACUGGAAAGGUGAUCAAGACAUAAAUGAAUGUUUUUUCUUUUAUUUGUUACGGACUAAAAUCAAUUCAUUUUGAAUAUGAGGAAUUAAAAUUUUACAUCAAUAACAUGUGAGGAGCAAUUGGUGCAAAUUUCCUUUGAAUUUUGAUGUAUUGAAGACUCGUAUAUUAUAAAUCCCAAAAAUUUUUCAAUACAUAUAACUCUAUUUGAGUAGAAAGAAAAUUGUGUGGAAAAUGAAGUAGAAGAAAUAAAAAAAUAUUGUUCUAUUUUCAAUCAAUUACCAAAAAAAAUUUUGAGAAAAGAUGAAAAAAUUAAUGAUCAUUAGUGAUAGUUAUUGUGAGUUUUGCAUUUAACUAGCUAUUUUCAUUUGCAAUUAGGUAAAUUUUGCUCGAUACGAAAUAUAUAAGAAAAAUUUUCAACUUUCUUGUGAACAAAACAUACAUAAGGGGAAAAAGAAUAACUUUUGUUUUACUUUCCCAUACUUGUUUUCCACACAACUUUCAUUAUGGUAAUUUUUUCCACCUAAUGAUAUAACAAUCGUAUAAUUGGAAUAAAUAGAAAAUGAUUUGUUUAAUGAAUGCCCAAUAGGAGUGCUACUCAAUCGAGCAGUUUGAUUCAAACUUGCGAGUAAUUCAAUCAACUUCUCGAAUCGAGCUUGACCAAUGCCAAGGUUGAGCUACUCAUAUUGAGUUUUUGAGUCAAGCUCAAGUAUGUAUAUCAUAUAUUCGAGAGUUUGUCAAAUUCUAUCAAGUACUCGAUGUAAUAUUUAAUUAAUAUAUUAUAAAUAAGUAAAUUACUCUGUUAGAUUGAUUAUUUGCAAUAUUUUACGACCCUAACCGUUUGUCGAGCUCUCGAACUCAAUAUUGAGUUCGCUAACUUCUCAAGCUCUAAUGAGUCAAGUUUGAGCCUUCUGAAUAUUAUGUCAAGUCGAGUUUUGUUCAAGCAACUCGCUCGAGUUUGAGUUCAAUAACUGCUACUAGGCAUCGAUCUCGAGUUCGAGUACGACGAUACUCGAAUUCAACUCGACUCGGUAUCCACCCUUAGUGCCCAGUAAUGUAGUUCAAGUAUUAAAUUUUUGGAAAAAUACAGUUAAUCAAGUCAAGUGUAUAAAUGUAAGGAAGAAUAAUAAUUAUUAGUGUAUAUAUUCACAUGAUAGAUUCGAUGUGAUUUAGGCGUGUUAAUGGAAGUAAGUACCCCGUUAGAAAAAUCCAACAAAAAAUAAUGUAUGAGGUGCUCAAUAUGUUAUAAUCUCAAUCUUUAAUAUCUCGGAAUGGAUGAUGUAUGUUGUAUGUUAUCUUCUAAUCUGUCUGCAUCAUGAUCAGGAUGGAUCAUUAUUGUGCUGAUAGGAACUUGGGGAAAAUAUUUGAGCUGAGCUAGGUUAUGCAUCCGAGCUUUGAAAUUACCAAUAUAUUUUUCUUGGUUGUCAACUGAAGUUUGUGAAAUUUUAAGUCUUCAUAUCAGCUUUUAAAUGGAAGCUCGAAAAGAUAUACUUCCUUGGCCCAAAAGUUUUUCUGUCCAAUCUUACCAUGCAAAGCUAAAAUAUUAGAUUCCAUAAACUGCCUAGUUUUCCUUGACCAAUUAAAAAAAAAAAAACAAGGAGGAAAAUGGAGAGGGGGACAAAUUAUAACGAGGAGUAUAUUAUGCAAUUUUUAGAGUUAGUAUCUUCGUAGGAUUGCUAAUUACUAAUUCUUGAGGUAAUAAUAAUUGGUUAAGGCUUAUAGAAUUGACUUUGAGCCAUGCAAUUUAGUAAUUACAUUAGCUAGUUGUAUGCUUAUAUUAUACACAUAAUAUGUUUUCUUUUCAGUUGUCUAACACGUGAUCGCUAAUCACUCGUUAGUACAUUUAAUUCCACCCUAACUUGUCAAUCACACUCACUUCUACCACUUACCCCUCUAAUGUAUUCAUCUUACAUGCACAAUUUAGCCUAAUUUUUGCAAAGAAUUAACACUUAAAAUUCAUCUUAAUAAAUUUUCACUCGUUAAACGAAAUCCUUUUCUUUAUUUUUACUAUCCAUUAAAACAAAAAGGAAGGGAAAAACAAGCAACCUCUUCGUUAACUUAUAGAUUAUGUUGAGAGAAAGAGUUGGUUCAAAAACCACCUUUCGGUAUUAAGAAUGUGAGUUACCAGUAUUUUAAGGAGCUAGGAAUGAUAAGUUGGGGAGCUCGAAGCUACAGUUUAGUUUAAAUCAACAGGCGGUUGACCCAGGGCUUCAAAUCAGACCCAUUAGAAGAGGGCACGUGGCAAAGAUACUAUUUCUCCUGAGAAAAAGGUAGGAGGUAACAUAAAAAAUUGGUGCACCAGUUAGCAAAGCACGUUAUAAAGUUGCGCCAGUCUUCACGCGUGCGGCCACAUCCAACAAAUCGGGCCCAUUAUUAUAUUGGACCACCGAAACACGGAUACGGCCCUGCUGGCGUCAGUCACACGCCAGACAAGCUCAUGGGACACGUGCCCAGGAAGUAAAGGUUUGAAGAAUUUAAUAUUUGACCAUGAUUUUUUUUUUUUAUUAAUGGACGUAAACCUUAAAGUUUGAGUUAAUUCCUUUGGACCCCGUUAAAAGUUGAAGAAGCUUCCUUUUUGCUUUUUCUAUACUCUGAAAUAGUCUUAUAAAACUUGGAAGUGUGUUUUCAGGAUAAUGGGGUAGUCUUUUGUUAAAGGAGACUUAUUAGUGGCAGCUGGCCUAACUUUUUAAAGCAUAUGGUAUUAAUUAUUUUUUCACUAAUUAUCUUCUAAGGUUAGUCUUGAAGCAUGAUAUUGUUUUUGAUAUAAAUAAGUGAUUAAGAAAACUCAACAUUUUUGAUACCCAUGAGAUACUUUAUAAUUAGGUCAUUGAACUUUUGUAAAAUAAUUCAUUUUAGCCAAUGAACAAUUUUCGCUUGAAAUUGAUGAACAAACUAUCUUAGAGACCGUAUUUUGUCCAUUGAGUCCAAUUUUAGGGCAAUUUUUGCCCUUUUGCGUUGCUGAAUUGCACACCUCCCAUCACCAUGCAAUAUUUUUCUUCACAAAUAGGUACCAGUGAAGCCAAAUAAACAAAAAUUAACAUCAAACGCAACAAUUAAAUCAUAUAUGGAGCCCUCAAUUGGUGGUAUUAACAGAUGAAUUUGGAAAGAGCGAGCAAAAUGUGACAAUUGUGAUUGUUGAAUAAUCAAUUCGAGAUGAGAAAAGUUUAUUUUGUUUCUUUGCUGGUUAGAAAAAGGUUUGAUAGAUUUGGCAUCGGCAACAUUAUAGGUCAGGGUAUAAUCCUAGAAACAUAUGUCGCUUAUCAGGAUUUUUAUAGAUCGUUCACAAUAUAACUCUCACAUCAACAGUGAAAUUCAAACACACAAUUUUUAUAAAAAAAAAAAAAUCACUAAUUUUUAUCAAGUGAGCCAACUUGUGCGGACAAAAAAAGGUUCAAUGAAGAAAAUGAGACAUCUAUAAAAGUUCAAUGCAUGAUCACCGGUGCAAUUCGCCCCAUUCUUUUUUUACUAAUAAAAUGUGAUGCAACAAGAGAUUAUGCAUGUAUCUAAGCGAGCUUCUUAUGUACUGAUCAAAGGCUUUCAUUGUAACCAAUAGUAAUUCCUCACUUGUUCCAAUUUCUUGUGUCGGCUAAUGUAAUGCACGUUCUGUUCUGAGUUCUGACAAAUGACUUUGUACUACUGAACCUAUCACAAAGAGCAGAAUCACAUUCCUCGGAGUCCUCAAAUAACACAUUCUGGAUUUGGUUGACAGCGAGGAAGUCCUCCAUUGCGAAGUCUACAGAUUGGAAGACUCAUCCUUACCUUGAAUUGACUUCCAUGUAUAGGGGAGGCCACAAGAUGACACAUGUAUUUGCACUUUUGCCUUGUUUUACAAUUCAAAGAAAUUUGGAUCUUUAGAAUUGAAAAAUUGUGGAUUCAAAACCUGUUAAGGCUUUGGAAGUUGAAAGGAAGUCCAUAAUUGAGGCCUUGGAAGUUGAAAGAAAGUGAUAAAAUCAAAACCCACUUAAAAUGGUCUGCCACCAUUGAGUUUUCACCAAUCAAUUCCAAGCAAGAAUCAAUUUCUAACGUCAAAACUUCUGAAGGAAGACCGGAGAAAAAAAAAAAAAAAAAAAAGAGUUAGUGCAUAAUUUGGAAUUAUCAGGCAAUCACUUGUACAACCAGGCAUUGACUCAGUAAUGGAAUGCUAUUGUGGUCUAAGAGAUAUACAAGCCCUAGUCAAUUUGUACACCUACCAAACUACGAAAUUUAAAAAGUUUUUAAAACUUGAUUUAAAAAGUUUCAACUAAUUUAUUGGCUAUAGCAAAAUUUUCAACAUAAACUAAUAAAUUUUUUAUAAGUAUUAUGUAUUGAUCUCCUCAAGUUUAUAUUAUUGGUCUAUCUGUCAGUUCUCCUGUUAACGGGGACAGAACCACAAUAGUUCCAAAAUUUCAUUGUGCCCCCGCUUAGAUUUUUAUAAUUCUUAUUUGGGCUAAGAAUUUUACCUUAAAAAUUUAUUUUAAUCGAACAUUUGCCGCCCACCCAAAAUAUUAGAGAACAAUAUUAGACGUUAUUGUCAUACAUUUUAUUUUUGCCUCCACAAAUUUCAAAAUUUUAUUUACAAGUAUAAAUUUUUAACUCAAGAAAUACACUAAUAGUAUAUAUAUAUACACUAUCACCGUUAGAUCCAUGACAUAUUUGUAAAAGUUUAAUUUCAAAUUUAAAUUUUGUAUAAUUGUCAUUCAUUGAAAACUGACAGUGUAUACGUUAUGAAUGUAGAAAAAAAAUUAAUCCUUAAGUUUUUACCCUCCAAACCUUCGAAUUAUAUGUUUUGUCAAAAACAUUAUUGAUGUCAGACAUUCCAUGUUUCCUCCCCAAAUUCAAAAGGGAUAAUUUCAGAAAUCUUUCCUGAGGUUUCUCAUAAUAUCAAUGAUCUCCCCUGAGAUUUUUAACGUCUCACUUACCUCCUUUGAGUUGACAUUUCUUAUACCAUUUUAACCCCCUUUGGAGAAAAUGCAAAAAGAUAACACUUUUGUUCUAAUACUACUCUUCUGUUAUCUUACUUAUGAAAUUUAUAACAAUAAUAAAAAAUAAAAUAAGGUGUAAAUUUCUUAACGGAAACUAUUUAUUUUAGUUAUAUUGGAACAAAAGCAAAAUUCACACAUAUUAAGGGAUUAUUUUAGUUUUCAAUACAACUUCAACUACACCAUGAAUUAAAACAUAUUUCCCCAGAAUAUAUCUGGACUUCCUUAAUUGUAACUUAACUAUGCACGAAAAUUUUAAGGUAUCAAUUACUCACAAAAAUCCUCCUAAGUGGUUGACCUUGAUUAAAUUUAAUUCAUCUACGUCCUUUGCUAUUCCACCACAACCUCAAUAUAAAUAAUAUGGACCAUUAUUAACUAGCAAUUUAUUUUUUUUAAUUUACAUUUUUUGGUUUUAAAUUUUAUUUUGUUUUGGUUUUGUGGUUAAAUAUUUAUUAAGAGCAAGGGCAAUAUUAUCAAUUUGUGACUUUUAAUAGGAAUAUUUAGUCUUGCCAAGUUAACAAGGGCGGUAAGUGAGAUUUUAAAAUUUUCAAAGGAGUUGAAUGAUAUUAUGACGGACCUCAGGGGAGAUUUAUGAAAUUAUCCCAAUUCAAAAUUAUGCUUUCGUCAUUGCCUGUUAAUAAAUUGUUGUCGUUUCGGCUUGAUUUAGGCUGCAAAAAUGAUGAUAUUGGAGUUAAAAUGGGUUUGAGAAGGAAAGUGAUUGAUUUGGUUCGUUAGGGGUGCAAACGAGCCGAGUCGAGCCGACCUUUGGCCUAAUCGAGCAGAGUCUCCAGUUAAUUUUGUGAAACUCGAGCUCAGCUCGACAUAGUCAAAAUGUCAUGCUCGAGCUUAAAAAAUAAAAAAUAAUAGUAAUAAAUUUAUUUUUUAAAAAUAAAAAAUAAAUAAAUAUUUUUAAAAAUGAAUAAAAUAAUAAUUUUUUAAUAAAUAAUAAAAUAUUAAGAAUAUAUGUGUAAUUUUACUAUUAAAAUAAAAAAUAAAAAAAAUAAAAAAUAUAUAUAAUUGAGCUUGCGAGCGACGAGUUUAAUGUUUUUGAACCCGAGUUCGACUUAAUUAGCUCGAACUCGACUCGAACUCGAUAUUGAUCGAGCUCGUACACAAGCCGCUGGCGAGUCAGAUUCGUGAACACCCUAGUUUGAACGUGAACUGCUGAGAAAGGGCUCAAAAUGGCACCUCCCUGUAGAAUGCAUUGGGCUAAGACCUAAAGUUGAGGCUGAAAAUACUUCGGGUGGGAUCCCGAUUGCAGUACCAUCGCACUUUUAGUAAAUCCGAAGGCAUAUCUUUUCGUAUGAAACUCAAAAUUGAGUAUCGUUUUGCUUGUGGGGAUAGAAACUAGAUCCAAAAGACUUUUAACUUUAUAUAUAAAAAAAUAAAAAAAAAAUCUUACAAUAGGAGUUCUAUAUCUAUAAGAAUAUUUCAUGGCAAGAGGAUACACAAUGAACCCUUUUUCCUCGAAAGUGGUCUAUUGUUCUUUCAUCCAGGGCUUGAGCACGAGCAAGUUAUAUAUAGAUUUUGUUUGAAGGAACGAAAUUUAGAGAGAGAGUUUUGGGAAGAUUUUCUUUAUUUCUCUGAUGCAGACUAAUGAUGGUACCGAUGCCUAUUUAUAGGCUUUACACAAGAAGGUCAUUGAUUAUCCUCUCACCUAUCAACCACUAACAGAUAUCUAUCAACCACUAAUAGAUAACAAUCAUUCCUAUCAUAUCUCUAAUUGAUAUACAUUCAAACAUUAAGAAUAUUCACGAAUCUUAUCUGAUACCAAUUACAAUUCAAUCCAACACUCCCCCUCAAGUUGGUGCAUAGAUGUCAUGCAUGCCCAACUUGCCGAGUGAGUUGUAAAAGUCCUUAGUCGGCACGGCUUUUGUGAGUAUAUCAGCUAGUUGAUCUUCAGAUCUCACAAACGGAAGCCGUAUUAUUUUUUCUUCAAGAUUCUGCUUGAUAAAGUGCCGAUCGACCUCAACAUGCUUAGUACGAUCAUGUUGAACUGGGUUAUGGCUGAUAUCGAUAGCAGCUUUGUUGUCACAAAAUAAGUUCAUCUCAAAUCUAGGAGAAAAACCGAUAUCGGCCAUCAACCGUUUGAGCCACAGAAGCUCACACAUACCUUUAGCCAUGCCUCUAAAUUCAGCUUCUGCACUCGAUAAUGCUACCACCUUUUGUCUCUUGCUUCUCCAAGUAACUAGAUUACCACCGACGAAUGUAAAGUAACCUGAGGUUGACUUUCGAUUGGUAGCAUCUCCUGCCCAAUCGGCAUCAGUGUAACCAUCAAUAUUAAGAUGACCAUUUUUGGAAAAUAAGAGACCCUUCCCAGGAGAACCCUUUAAGUACCGAAGAAUUCUCAUCACAGCUUCCAUGUGCCGAUUACUGGGUGAAUGCAUAAAUCGGCUGACCACACUAACAGAAUAGGCAAUAUCGGGCCGAGUAUGUGACAAGUAGAUCAGCUUACCGACCAAUCUUUGAUAUCUCUCUUUGUCAGUUGGUUUCUGAUAUGGAUAUUCUCCUAACUUGUGGUUUAGCAUAAUUGGCGUGUCAGCAGGUUUGCAAUCCAGGAUGUGAGAACCCGUAAAUCCCUAAUAAUUUUCUUAGGGUUUAUUUCCUUUAAUGGCAUGAUUUCUGCAUUUUCUGGCUUAGAAAUAUUUUCUUAGUGGAUUUUACGAGUAAAUAUAGUUUUUAGAUGAUUUUUCUUGUAACGAAUAGAUUUUGAGAAAUUAAGAACGUAUAUCAGGCGUGGGACCCACUAGUGCGAAAUGUUCGGAAAAAUUCGGCCAAUUAGGUUAAAUUCCGGAUACUGUGUAAAAUUUAUCGGGUGUUAAGAGAUAAGUAGAGUGUGUGAAAUGAUUGAUGUGAGAGAGAAAAGAAAGGAUAGGAUUGCAUUAAUGGUGUGACAAGUGUCACCAUCUUAUGGGUUGAAGCUUAUGGAACACUAUUCAUUUUUUUUGACUUUUGACCAAAAUUGGUUAAAUAUCUAAAAAUUUCACAAAAAAUCCCCAUUUUCUCACCUUGGAUGGCCGGCCCUCUUACCUCAAGAAGGAAGAGAACUUCAUCAUUUUGCAAGCUUCCAUUUGGUUCAAUCUUCCAUAAACAAAAGCUUAGACUAGAUUUCACUCCAUAAAAUCCUAUCUUCUAGUGCUAGUAAGGGUUGUAGUGAAAUUUGUUUGAAGCUCUAAGGUGGCCAACCUCUCUACACCUCUUGUUCUUAGGUAAGUGAUGUUUUACUACUUCCUUAUACUUAAUGAUGGUUAUUUUGUGCUUAAGGGUGGCAUAAGUGUUGGAAUAUAUGAUUUAUUUCUUGAUUUGAAGAGUUUUGGUGAAGUUUUCCAUUUUGUGAUGAAUUUUCUGGUGUAAUAUGAAAUGAAUGUUGUGGCCAUCUUUGAUGAUUGGCAAUGGACUAUAAUGGCUCUAGUAGGUAUGUUUGAUAAGUAUUUGCAAUCAAUUUUGGAUUUGGAUGGAAAAUGGAAAGUUAGGGUUCUUAUUAUUCCCAAUUCUGUCCGGUUUUAGAUCACUGGGUUAAAGGCCGAAUUAGACUUUGCUCAAAACAUGAAAGUUGUAGGUAUUGAUGUGUUUGAGGUGCCUGUAAAAUUUCAGGGCAUUUGGAUUAGUGUAGAGUGAGUUAUGACGAAAUUACUGUAGCUAUUCUGCUUUGGACAGAAUGCGAAAACUGCGUUUGUAGUUGGCCAUUUUGACUGGAAUUGGUUUGGAUUUUGAAGUUGGUGUCUUCUGAUGAAAUGUAGCUGAAUGUCUUAGCUAACAUAUGCCUUUGGAAUUUCGGCAUUUGGACUAGUAUGGACUGAGAUAUACCGAUUACAGUUUUCUGUGUUUUGCAAACCUGUUUUGGGAAUUCUGGUAUAGUAUUUCGUAUUUUUGACCUAGUUGGGCCAGGAACUGGAUUGAGUGACCUUCUACAUUGUUGUGGCCCUGUUUCAUAGCUUCGAAACGGUGGGUCUUACACCCCCAUCCGAUAAUCGUAGUGAAAUUGACGCCAUUACCGCAUUAGGAGGUCAAAACUGUUUUUAUUGUUGGAACAAAUGAGUUACAUUUCCUGAUUUUCUGGUUUGCUUUAAUGCUUAUUUAUGCAUAUGAAACCUUACUGGGGUUGUGGUUGGCAUGGUUAUAUGACUCGUCAUCGAGUCUCUUUUGGGGCUUGCUUUCAUUUCGGUUGUUUCCUAGCUAAGUUUUGUACUUGUACUACUUUGAGCCUAGUGAACGGCUUUUGGGAAAUGAGAUGACUUUUGUGUGAAAUGUUGGGACUGAUUUGAGGAUAUAAUGAAGCCUUAAUGGCUGGAAAAGUAAGAAAUUUAGGGGAAGUGCUGCCCAAUUUUCUAGGUCGUUUGGUUUCUUUAAGUUGGAUUGGCCUUUUUGUGGAAAUGAAAGGCUUUUGGGUUGUUUGUGCCUAAGUCUUCAUACUAACUUUUCGUUUUCAAGAAAAUCAUGUUUUUGUACCCUUGCAUUAGUAUGUCUCACUUGUGCAUUCCGUUUAUUCGAUUUUAGAUAUGAAACCUUCAAUUGGUUUAUUUUGAUUAUUUUAGGGUUUCUUGGCGAUUAAGGCCAAUCUGAAGUGAAACUUUUUGAAGUUGAAUUGGUGAAUGUACCACUCCCCUUCAUUGCUGUUUAACUUGAUUUCUGCUCUGUAAUUUGUUAAAUUUGUUUGAGACGAGGGUGUACUUUAUCACACUCGUUCUUUUAUCUGUUCAUAUGCCAAUUUUGAGUGCCUAUCUGAAUCUGCCGUCUGAAUCUGCUAUCUGAAUCUGCUAUUCUGUAUCUGUAUCUGAAUCUGUUAUCUGUAUCUGCAUCUGUUCGGAUUUCUAUGACUUAUGAGCUCAAUCCUGUGGCUAAGUUAUUCGAGUCGGGUCGGCAAGGGCCUGGACGAUUAGAUAACGAACCACGGUAGUCUGUUCGGGGAUUUUUGGGUAUUGAGACCCUUGAUUCCGGUAUACUCGAGUAUUACCAUUUCUGUUCGGUUACGGUGAGCGGGCCCGGUAAAGGGGUGUUUGGUGGACGGAAUUCGGUGUAAAGAGGGGUCUACGGACGCGUUGGUUCUAUAUGCGUUGACGGAGAGUCAACCGGUUUGGAUCAAGUACUGCACUGGAAAUUUGGCUCCUGAGAGCCACCCGUAUCCUUCUGAUUUGACUCAUUAGUUCCUUUGCUUUACAUCUGACAUGUGUAUCUGAUUUGUAAAAUGUGAAAUGCCAUGACUUUAUUGCUAUCUGUUUGGUACCUCAUUGAGCGCAAGCUCACCCCGUUCUGUUCCUUUUGUUUUCCUUACAGGAAAAAUAAAUACUUUUGGACUGGAUUUGAUAAUCGGUUGCCGACUUGAGCUAGUUGGACAUAUCUUUUGUAUAGCUCAUGUAUUAAAACCCUAAAUGUACUAUUGGUCCGUUUCUCUUUUGGAUUUGGCAAACCGUACAUGUAUCCACUUUUGAAUCACUUUGGUAUGCCCCUUUUGGGAAGUAUAUGCUAACUUGUGAGAUGUAAAUAUUUGCUUGACGUUUGGUUGGGUUUUGACGUGUCGGUUCCUCUUCAUGGCCGACUCCGACUUUGUUUUUUCCUUAUUUUGUGGAUUCGACUGGUUUUCACGCGGUUGUAUGACCCGAAAAGUAUUAGAUCGCGCUAAUCUGAUCCGUAGUCCUGGCGAGAGCUGGGCAGGCAGUCCGCCAACCCCUUUGGUUCGCCUUAGGGGAAAGUGGGGCUGUCACACAGGAGCCCAACCUCUGCCAACAGAUCAAGUACAUACUUCCUCUGGGAUAGGACGAUGCCUUGUGCCGAUCUCGCCACUUCAAUUCCCAGGAAAUACUUGAGAUUCCCCAAACUCUUCAUUUCAAAUUCAGCCGCCAGCUGAUUUUGUAGUUUGGAGAUUUCCUUUUCAUCAUUGCCUGUGAUAAUCAUAUCAUCGACAUAAAUUAUUAAGGUAGUUACCUUUCCAUGCUGAUGUUUUAGGAAAAGAGUAUGGUCAGCAUUACUCUGCUGAAAACCAUACUUCUUCAUAGCUAGCGUAAAACGGCCGAACCAAGCACGUGGUGACUGUUUGAGUCCAUACAAUGCUUUCUGUAAUCGGCACACAGUAGUUGUUUUCGAUACUGUAGAACACCCUGGUGGGAUAUCCAUGUAGACUUCCUCCUCCAGAUUCCCAUGCAGGAAAGUGUUCUUCACAUCAAACUGAUGCAAUGGCCAAUCCAAAUUUGCCGCAAGAGAUAUCAGUACUCUAACCGUAUCCAAUUUAGCCACUGGUGAAAAAGUUUCCUGGUAAUCGAUGCCAUAGGUCUGAGUGUAUCCUUUAGCCACGAGACGAGCUUUAUAUCUAUCGAUUGAUCCAUCAGCCUUAUACUUGAUUGUGAAAACCCAUUUGCAUCCCACCGUCCUCUUCCCAUCUGGUAAUGGGACCAAAGUCCACGUGUCAUUUUUUUGCAAUGCCAACAUCUCAUCCUUAAUUGCUUGAGUCCAGUUUGGAUCUUUGAAAGCAGCAUGCACAUCUUUUGGAAUGUCAGUUGACGACACAUUAUUCACAAAGGCUUCAAGAGGUUCAGAUAGCCUGUGAGUGGACAUAUAAUUGGCAAUGGAAUACUUUGAUCGCUUUGCAUGACUUUCUGGAGAGUACCGAGUCGGUGGCUUACCCCGAUUGGAUCUGUCAGGUAAUACAUAUCUUGCAGUAGUAUCUAACAUAACAUUAGAAUCAGCAGGAGUACUUACCUCAGGAACAUUCUCAGGAGACAUGCAGUUAGGUACUGAAGAGGGAGGGAUUAUAUCAACAAUUUCAUCAGUAGCAUCAGCAUUUCCAUCGGCAGCUCCUCCAUCGACGGCUCCAUGGACAAAAUCAAUAGGACAGCUAGCAACCAUACUUUCAUCAGCAGCUUUAUCGGUUCCAUCGACAGGGGGCUCCGUGGGCUCGGCAAUGGGAGAAACAGUAGCUUCACCGACAGAAUCAGUGGGACAGCACGGCCACGCUAAUCCUGGCCAAUUCUUUUCUUCUGUAUCCCUUGUCUCCCCCUGAAGGGAAGAAUUGGAUGCCGAGGAGAAAAAUGUGUCCGACUCCAAGAAUGUAACAUCCAUGGUUUCAUACAUCUUGCUAGUGGUUGGAUCAUAGCACCGAUAGCCCUUCUUGUGCACUGCAUACCCCACGAAGACACAACGAACAGCACAGGGAUCAAGCUUACUUCGUUGAUUCUUGUGCCGAUGAACAAAUGCUACACAACCAAACGCCCGUGCCGGAAGCAUUAGAACCGAUGGUAGAGUGAAAUGUUGAGACAGUGCUUGCAGCGGUGUCUGGAAGUUGAUAACUUUUGAAGGCAGUCUAUUCAAUAAAUAGACUGCUGUUGUGACUGCAUCAUUCCAAUAUCGGCGAGGAACAUGGGCACCAAUCAGUAAUGCUCUUGCUAUUUCAAGGAUAUGUCGAUUCUUUCUUUCAGCUACUCCAUUUUGCUGUGGAGUUUGGGUGCAUGAUGUUUCAUGUAUAAGACCAUUGAUAUUAAAGAACUCUUGUAGUGGCCGAUUAACAUACUCACCACCAUUAUCAGAUCGAAGAAUCUUGACUGUUGCUGAAAACUGUGUAUGAAUCAUGGAACAAAAUGACUUGAAAAUAUCAAGAACUUCAUUCUUAUGUUUUAACAAAUACAACCAAGUCAUUCGAGUACAGUCAUCUACGAAAGUUACAAACCAACGGACUCCAGUAGAUGAAGUGAUCGGGGAUGGUCCCCAAACAUCAGAAUGUACUAAAGCAAAAGGUGUAUUCGACUUAUUCAAACUGACAGGAUAUGAGGCCCUAUGACUUUUGGCUAAUACACAGGUCUCACAUUUUAAAUCGGCAGUUUUGAUACUCGAAAAAAGUGCUGGAAAAAGGUGCUUCAUAUACCCAAAAGAAGGAUGUCCUAGUCGCUGAUGCCACAAUCGAAUCUCUCGUUCUUUGGUGUUAUCGGUACUCCUUGUCUGAUUGGCUCUACCGAUACUGAAAUCAUCAAUGUAAUAUAGAUCCCCCCUCCUAGUACCACGACCGAUUAUCUCCUUUGUGAGAAUUUCCUGAAGAAGACAGAAGGUUGGAUACAUCAGUACCAUACAGUUAAGAUCAGUAGUUAUUUGACUUACUGAUAGUAACUUAUUUGACAGUGAGGGAAUCAAUAAAGUAUUCGGUAGAGAUAAAGACGGAGAUAAAGUAACAGUUCCAGCUCCUGUAACUGGAUACUGCACACCAUUAGCAUUGGAAAUUUUCGACCGUCGUGGUUGAGUUACGGAUGAGAAGUCAGUUGGAUCAUAGGUCAUAUGAUCAGUGGCUCCUGAAUCGACAAUCCAAUUACUAUCGCGUCGAUGUGAGGAGUUCAUACCUUGAUGCUGAUUGGUAGAAGACGUAGAGUGCACCUGGGCAAUAUUGAUAUCAGCAACUGCAACGGCCACCUUUCCAUUCUGACCAGCAACAUUCAGUCGAUCAGCGGGCCAAUUUCGCCCUUUGCGCUCUUUCCACCAGGUUGGAUAUCCGUGCAACUUGAAGCACGUAUCUUGUGUGUGCCCUUUCUUAUUGCAGUGGGCACAAUUAACUUCCUCAGUUGGCAUCUCGGCUCGGGGUACUAAAAUCGGCUCAUUCUUCCUUCCCUUGGAAGCCAUGACAGAGCCGAUUGAGUGGUCUCCCCCUGUUAUCAUCACCGAUUGUCUGCUGUCUUCUCGUCGGACAUAGGCAUAUGCCUCUUCUACUGUUGGAAAUGGUUUCAUCCGCAGAACAUCACUGCGAAUCUGGUCCAGUCGGUCAUCUAACCCAUCGAGGAAAGUGUAGACUCUCUCUUCCUGUAUGAGAGAAUUAUACCUGCUGAUAUCGGCAGCACAUUCCAUCGGGUUCGGCCGACGAAAAUCGAUCUCCCUCCACAAACCUUGCAAAUCGUUGUAGUACUUUUCGAUCAGCCCACCAGCUUGUCUCAGUCUAGUCACCUUCCGCCUCAGAUCAUACAGUUGGGAUGUAUCGGUUCCAUCAAAGUAUGUGGUAGCAAUAGCAUCCCAUACCGCUUUUGCUGUGGGAAAACGAACAAAGGUACCGAUCAAGGAUGGAGCCAUAUUAUUUAUCAACCACCCUUUCACGAUAGAGUCUUCAGUUCGCCACCGUCGAUACGCUGGAUCUGUUGGUGACGGCUGAGGGAGUUCACCAUUAAUAUACCCCAAUUUGUCCUUCCCUGAGAUAUACAUCUCGACAAUUUGGGACCAUAAGGCAUAGUUGGUAUCAUCCAACUUGAUGCCGAUCUGAGCCGAAGACGAAUCCAUGCUCGGUGUAGACUUCUGGCAGCUAUUCAGGACUUCCAUCAUCCAAGUGGCAAAAUCCUCUAGAACUACGUCAGCUUGUCCUUUCCCACCGUCCGUGAGCGUAGACGAUUCGGCCAUGGCUGGUUGUUGAAGAAAUUAUCAGAGUAACACUUUGGAGCAGAGAUCCUAGAAUCCCUGCUCUGAUACCAUGUUUGAAGGAACGAAAUUUAGAGAGAGAGUUUUGGGAAGAUUUUCUUUAUUUCUCUGAUGCAGACUAAUGAUGGUACCGAUGCCUAUUUAUAGGCUUUACACAAGAAGGUCAUUGAUUAUCCUCUCACCUAUCAACCACUAACAGAUAUCUAUCAACCACUAAUAGAUAACAAUCAUUCCUAUCAUAUCUCUAAUUGAUAUACAUUCAAACAUUAAGAAUAUUCACGAAUCUUAUCUGAUACCAAUUACAAUUCAAUCCAACAGAUUUGUCCUUCACAUCUAAUAGUGGAUGAUGAAAGUGAAAAAUAUAUAUAUAAAUAUAUAGAUUCUACUCAACUCAAAGUGAAUGCCAGUCAGUCGCUGCCAGAUAAAGCUGCAAUCUAAGUGGUAGAAAGAAAACCUGAAUGGAAGAUAGAUUUGUCUCUAAUACAUACCCUUAAUUCCUUGAGUUUGACAACUUGCAAGAGCCAAGAAAAGGUACACUAGAAGUUGAAGCUUUCUGAUAGAUUUCGGUGGUUUUUUGAUCAUUUUUGAAGCUAAGGCCAUGUGGAACGUAAAUGAACCUAAAUCUAACAGGCAUGGAGUAAGGAACACUCCCAUUUUCAACUCCAUCAGGCAUAGUUUGGCCAGUCGGUCAUUGGUGCCAUUUCAAGGGUACAUGGCUUAAUAAGCAAUUGUGCGUUCACCUUUUGCAACCUAUAUACAAGGAGCUAAGCUAAUAAACGUUAUCGAAGCACAACUCUCCAACAUAUAUAGCUGAAAACUGCAUUAAGAAUCAAGAACGAGAAUCAAUGGCUCCAGCCAUGAUUCGCCAUCUUCUUGCAAGCGUUGUUCUCCUUAUGGCGGUCAUGGCAAACGGGCAACCCACGGGCUCCAAACAUCGGACGGCUAGAUGUGCUGACAGGAAAUUCAGUGCAUGUUACAGUCAGCCGGCACAGUACUGCCCCGCUGAAUGCCCAAAUUACUGUGCAGUUGACUGUUUUAGAUGCCUACCUGUUUGUGUUCCAAAGCCACCUCCAGGUCCACCACCACCACCAAGACAAAGACGGUCACCGCAUCCACCUCGUCCUCCACCACCACCAAGACGAAGACGGUCACCGCCUCCACCUCGUUCUCCACCACCACCACCUCAUUACCAUCAUUCCCCACCUCCUCCUUUCAAUGCUCCACCAUCACCCCCUACUUCGAAUUCCACCCCACCUCCACUGACACCACCAACUUCGAGUCCUCCUCCACUAGCGACUCCACCACCUUUGAGCCCCCCUCCAGCGUCAUCUACACCUAGUCCACCACCAGAAGUAUCUGGAAAAAGAGUCCACUGCAAGAACAAAAAUUACACCAAGUGCUACCGCAUGGAACAACGUUGCCCAAGUUCUUGUCCAGACCAAUGUGAGGUUGACUGCGUCACCUGCAGUCCUGUUUGUAGUAAGUCCCGUUUCUUCUAGUUUUAUUAUCUACUUUUCUGGUCAAUCAAGGAAAGAAAAAGAAAAAUCACACUUCGUUUUGUUAGGAUUCGUAGAACUUAAAAUGGUUGUCUGAAACUAGGGUGAUUUCAUGUAUUGAUGUCUUUGUUUCUUUCCAAAUUCUACUGUAACAAAAAACAUUAUAGGCUAAUCAAAACAUCCUAUUCUUCAUGUCCAGACUGCAACAAGCCAGGGGCUGUCUGCCAGGAUCCACGAUUUAUUGGGGCUGAUGGAAUUACCUUCUACUUCCAUGGCAAAAAGGAUCAAGACUUCUGUAUAGUUUCCGAUUCUAAUUUACACAUCAAUGCUCACUUCAUUGGAAAGAAAAGCGAGAACAUGACAAGGGACUUUACUUGGGUCCAGUCCCUUGGUAUUCUAUUUGACAACCAUCAAAUAUUUGUUGGUGCUAAGAGGACAGCAACAUGGGACAAUGCAGUUGAUCGCCUAGACCUAGAUUUUGAUGGACAACAAAUACUCCUAUCCGAAGGUGCAGGUUCCAAAUGGCUACCAGCUACAGCACCUGGCGUUUCCAUCACCAGGUCUUUUGACGUCAAUGCUGCAGUUAUAGAAGUGGAAGGGAACUUCCAGAUAAAAGCAACUGUGGUUCCAAUCACAGAGAAGGAAUCAAGGAUACACAAGUAUGGCGUAACUGAUGAAGACUGCUUUGCCCAUCUUGAUUUGAGCUUUAAGUUCUACUCAUUGAGCGGUGCAGUAAAUGGAGUCUUGGGUCAGACAUAUAGCAGCAAUUAUGUCAGUAGGGCCAAGAUGGGGGUGGACAUGCCAGUUUUGGGAGGACAGAAGGAGUUUGCUUCUUCAAGCCUCUUCUCCACAGACUGUUCUGUUGCUCAAUUCAGCGGAACUCCUCCAAUCAGCACUACAAAUAAUGUGGAAUACUCUAACAUGAAUUGUGCAAGUGGAUUUGAUGGCCGUGGUGUGGUAUGCAAGAGAUGAUCAAUCUCUCUUCACUCUUUGACUAAGCAUAUGGUGAAGACAUUGGUUUCAUGUUAUGUACUAUAAGAAAAUAAGGCCAGAUCUCAUAAUAAGAUUCUUAUAUAGUAAAUCUUGAUUUAUCAUAAUAAUUAUUCCAAUAACAUCUUUGUUUCUCCGAGAUGAAUAUCAAAAUAUCCGGUUUUUACUAAUAAAGGUUUAUAAACAAGCAUAAUUGAGAUGCUAAAUUACUUUUAGCAAACUAUUGACGUCUGUUAUCCAUGUUAAGCUUUAAUACCAUGAGUGUCCAGGUUAGUUACCGGGUGCCUAAAAGGAAGCAAUGUUCUUAUACAGUUGAUUAAACAGCAGAUUAUAGAAAGAAAAAAGUAAGGAUUGAUACUACCAGCAGCCAUGAAUGGCUUUGUUUGGAAAGCAAUUUUUUGAAAAAUUGCUACGUUUUCCAUAAACACAUUCUCCAAUCACUUUUUUAUCUCAUAUAUAUCAAAUCGUUACAAUAAUUUUUCUACAAAAAAAUCCAAAAAAUGCAAUCCAAACGAAGGCAGGAAAUUUCUUAAACUAGCAACUCAAGGAGCUCUCCGUUUCUAUUUCACAGGGAGGUAACUGCUUUCUGGGGCAGAAUCCUGCACAUCUAUCUUCUUAGUGUAAUUUACUUCUGUUACAUUAUUCAUCAUUGUUGGUCAUGAGGAAAUAUGAUGGAAGGGUGAAUCUACAAUGACCAAUGAAUUGUUCAAAUCACUCUACAGGGUUUUAGUCAACCCGUUGCUGGAAUUAUUCUCAAUCUAAAUCCUAGAGAUAAUUUGAAAAGCAACUUCGAGUAAGGAUCAGUUAAAAGUCCUUUGACCUUUAAUUCCAAAAAACAACAAAACUUUCGAGGAUUACAACUUUCUCUUUGUACAGUGUACCUUGGAUCAUUCAAUGGUUUCAAAAUUUGAGGUUGCAGCUAUCUACGGCCUUGUUCUAUUUAGCGACUAUCUACCUUGGCUGUAAUUAUAUCACACUCCUUCUCUACAAGAUGGCAAAGAUAGGUUGCAGUCACUCCGUGAUGUCUUCUGUCUGCCACUUCGUCAUGUGUUUGGACACGGUAUAGCAUGUACAUUUUUAAGCAGGGAAUGGCCUGAUGAAUGAAAAAUGUCUUCCAAAGCGCUAUCUUAUAUGCAGGAACUGAUAUAUAAAACUGAAUAUGCCAAGCAUCUCCAGAUCAUGUGUUCUAACAUAUUCAAAAGAAACUGAUUCCCAUCCUUUGACAAGAUCCAACAUAGGACCAGUAAUCAAUUGUUCAUAAGUAACUAUCCCAGGACCAUUGAUAUUCGUAUUAUUAACCAUAAAUACAAAAUUAUUCCAAACUAAAUUUCACAACCAAAAAAAAUAUAUCAUAGGUAUACAAGCUUCCUGAUCAAAGAAAAACUUUAAUUUAGCACUCCAUCCUGCACAAAUUCGUAACAAAGUUCAAAUCUUCAUGACCAUGCUAUUACUUCCUAUCCUUUAGUUUCCAUUACUUGUUGAAUUGAGGCAUUCUUUAAUUAAUUCCUG
rnacentral:lncRNA from 1 species